CUGGGGUAAUGAGUUUGGAUGAAGAACAGAACGAGGUGAAGGGCCCGUCAUCACAUCACAUGAGAAAGUCCAUGUUAUCAACAUGACAUCACUGGUGGUGCUAGCCAUGAUUACUGGCACUUGACCAGGAAGAAAGGACCAAAGAGAGACAACAUUUUCUCUUAUACGCAUUGUUUGCACAUUGCUCGUUAACACCUCCAGCAAACAGAGCAUCACCAUGAAAUUCUCUAUUGAGCAGUAAAGAGAGACAGAGAGAGAGAGAGAGACAAAGAAAAAAGAAACAACAGCCUGGAAGUAGCUUUUUGUCUUUCACCACUAUUCACUAUUGAGAUGCUAACUAUAGUAAAUGUUUUAAUAGCUAUAAAAGGAGAGAGAGAUUGUCAUGCUGCCAUGAAAUGGAUAUAAACAAUUUUCAGCUGAGACUCUGACCAAAAAAAUUACUCAGGGAGUACAAUUAGAACAUUCACAACACAAAGGGAUCAUGAAUGCUUGAGGUGACAGAUCUCCUGCUACCCUCAGGGGCAAGAAAAAUAAAUAACUACAAAAAUGAGAUGAAGGAAGGAAGAAUAAUGGUCUGUUGUUGGAUCUAGAGAACUUGAAAUGGGAGUGAUCUAUUAAAACAUUUAUUAGCAAUCUCUCGAAGGCCACAAUAAACAUCUGCAAACCAACGAGCUUCACUGUUCUAGAGAAGCACAAGUUUAAGAAAUGCCAUAUAUAUCAUUCAUUGCCUGCUUGAAUAAAUACUUUUUUAUUGUCUACAGAAAAGUAUCUGUCAGCUGCUAUGUUACCAGAACAAGUCAAAGUCUAUUAACAUUUAUUGAUGCUAGUAUUAUGAAAUGAUGAAACUUUAAUUUUUGUGUGAAAACAGAUGACUGGGGCAAAGACAAGGGAUUCUCACCAAGAAAUUAUCCUAGACUGACUACAUUAUUUCAAAUAUGCUUUUCUGUUUGCUGAAGGUGUGAAAAUGAGCCAUUGUGUGAAAUGUGCAACCUUUACCCAAGACAUUUCAGUAGCAAAGACACUAAAAAUAAAAGCAGAAAUGUGUAUCCCUCUGCUGGCAUUGACAGUGUUGAAUAUUUUCUGUACUUGAAUGAUGCAGUAAGAAGCUGGUCACCUAAAUCUAUUUGGGCUCUUUCUCCAAUAUGCUGAUACUUAAUUGAACCUGGCAAAAUAAAUCAUCGCAAAUU